rnacentral:rRNA from 1 species
AUGGCGGAUCCUCGGGCGUGGAACCCCAACUACGGUGUGGUGGGCAGCGGCGACCGCCGGCUGGCCUACUCCCGCCAGCCCUCCUUCUCCUCCUCCCCGCGCCCGGGCCCCGGCCUCGCCCGCUCCGACUCCUCCAUCUCCAUGCCCGCGCCCCUCGCGCAGCCGCCCAAGGCACCUGACGUCCGGUACCGCUGGCUCGCCACCCGCCCGAUGCGCCGCCUCGCGCUCCUGCUCGCCCUCAACGCCGCCUACUCCGCCGUGGAGCUGGCCGUGGGCCUCCUCACGGGGCGCGUGGGCCUCGUCUCCGACGCCUUCCACCUCACCUUCGGCUGCGGCCUGCUCUCCUUCUCCCUCUUCGCCAUGGCCGCCUCCCGGACCAAGCCAGACUCCACAUACACCUACGGGUACAAGAGAUUGGAGGUCCUCGCCGCCUUCACCAAUGCCCUGUUCCUGCUGUUCAUGUCUUUCUCCUUGGCUGUCGAAGCGCUGCACUCGUUUAUGCAGGAUGAGUCCGAGCACAAGCAUUACCUCAUUGUUUCUGCAGUCACAAACCUUUUGGUCAACUUACUUGGUGUCUGGUUCUUCCGGAGCUAUGCUCGUGUUAACAUAGUGUACAGGAAAGCAGAGGAUAUGAACCAUCACUCCAUCUGUUUGCAUGUUCUGGCAGAUUCAGUGCGGAGUGCAGGCUUGAUACUAGCUUCUUGGUUUCUUUCAUUGGGGAUUGAGAACGCAGAGGUGUUGUGCCUGGGAAUAGUUUCGGUGGCGGUGUUCAUGCUUGUUAUGCCUCUGUUCAAAGCCACGGGCAAUGUCCUGCUGCAGAUUGCGCCUGGCAACGUGCCACCUUCAGCCUUCAUCAAGUGCGGCAGACAGAUUACUGCUUGUGAGGAUGUCUCUGAGGUAUCCCAGGCUCGGUUUUGGGAGCUUGUGCCUGGUCAUGCCGUUGGUUGCCUCUCCAUCCGGCUCAAGAAUAGCAGUGAUGAUGAAUCGGUGCUCGAAUACGUGCAUGGACUGUACGAGGAUCUAGGGAUACAUGACCUGACCAUCCAGACCGAAAAAUCUUAG